rnacentral:rRNA from 1 species
UCUUCUGUAGCAAUACAGGAGAUCGGCGCACGGCGCACGGGUGCGUAACACGUGGGUAACCUGCCCUCCAAAGGGGGAUAACCCGCCGAAAGGCGGGCUAAUACCGCAUGACAUUCCGGUGGCUUCGGUCGCUGGAAUCAAAGCCCGCAAGGGCGUUGGAGGAGGGGCCCGCGGCCGAUUAGCUUGUUGGCGAGGUAACGGCUCACCAAGGCUUUGAUCGGUAGCCGGUCUGAGAGGAUGGCCGGCCACACUGGAACUGAGACACGGUCCAGACUCCUACGGGAGGCAGCAGUGGGGAAUCUUGCGCAAUGGGCGAAAGCCUGACGCAGCGACGCCGCGUGGGGGAUGAAGCUUCUCGGAGUGUAAACCCCUUUCGACCGGGACGAAACGCCCGCAAGGGCUUGACGGUACCGGUAUAAGAAGCCCCGGCUAUCUACGUGCCAGCAGCCGCGGUAAGACGUAGGGGGCCAGCGUUGCUCGGAAUUACUGGGCGUAAAGGGUUCGUAGGCGGUGCGGUAAGUCGGAAGUGAAAUCUCUGGGCUUAACUCAGAGGCUGCUUUCGAAACUGCCGUGCUAGAGUGCGGGAGAGGCGAGUGGAAUUACAGGUGUAGCGGUGAAAUGCGUAGAUAUCUGUAGGAACACCCGUGGCGAAGGCGGCUCGCUGGACCGCAACUGACGCUGAGGAACGAAAGCUAGGGGAGCAAACAGGAUUAGAUACCCUGGUAGUCCUAGCCCUAAACCAUCAGGACUUGGGGUGGCCCGCGUUGGCGGGUCGUCCCGGAGCUAACGCGUUAAGUCCUGCGCCUGGGGAGUACGGUCGCAAGGCUG